ACUUUUAAGAAGCUGAGAAUGCUAGCUUCUGAGUUCUCUCAGAGAGUAUCUGCUUCUUUUUCAAACACUUCAUUAACUUAUUUACUUCUCUCUUCUUAUCCACUUCUUUACUUUAAAUAAAAAAUCACCUUUUUUUAAACUGACCUAAACCCCCCCUUAGUUCUUCAUUAUCUUCUUCUUCCGAGCAUGUGCGGCCCAGCUGAUCAUCUUCUUUGAAAUAUGGGCAUCACUUACCCCUGGAUCAGACAUGGUAUAAAGCACAGCCAAUAUCAAGGGCUUGUUGGCAAGGGGCAAGCAGCAUGAAGCACCUGCGAAAUUAUCCACCUUAUUAUUUGCAAUUGCUUUUCAAGGACCUCUCUGUAAUCGUCUUAUCAAGCAGCAGAAUAAUAUGAUCUCUGGCCGUUCAUUUCAAAGUGACGAUUAUCAAAGGUUCCUGUUUAAAGCAGUUGAACGAACUUUGUAGCUUGUUGGGUGAUGCGGAGAAGGUGUUCGAUAAAUUGCCUGUAUGAAGAUUUUUCCAAUUGGUUCGUGGCAGUCUAACUGCCAGGAAAAAACUUGAAAUUUUUGCGCAGGAUGAUUGAAUCUUAAUUUUGAAGAUCUACUUCAAAUGAUCUCCACUGCAUCAGGCAUUUGUAUAUGAUGCAAUAUAAAACCAAGGCUUCAGAAAGCGCAGGCAUCCGAUUUCUGCAAAGCUUAGUUGGUUUAGUAUUAUGCUGCCACUGUUCAUAACUUCCAUGACUCUUUUUUGCCCUAACAAACUCUCGUGAGAAGGUGGAUGCUCAUGGUAAAGUUUUCAAGUGUAAGGUAUUUUUCUGUCAGAAUAUAUUUCAGAUAUUUUAAAUAAGCUAGUAUCAGUAAAGUCAUCUAAGGAUCGCAGAAAAUAAAACGCAGCUGAAUCCGCAAGGCGGAAAGUUUCACAUUUACAUCAAUAUUAUUGCAUAAGACUAACUGAUUAUAAUCAGCUAUUUAAAAUUAAUCUGAAGAUGGUUCGUUUCAAGCCUCCCAUAAUUCAUAAUAUCACCCAAAAAAAAACUCAAAGUAUUAUGAACUCUUUAGGCCUGACGGAGGCAUGGUGGGUGAAAGGAGCCCAAAUCACAAUUUUUAUGUCAUUUGUAAGUUUAUGCAGCGUGCAUAAAGAUAUAUAAAGAUUAGACGUAAAUUAGUAAUUUGUCUCGUGUUAUGAACAGUGCCGACAUUUCAAACGAGAAACGUUUUUAGAGACGGAGGGAGUAUAACUUAAGUUUGUAUUAAAAUAUUGAUUUGAGCUUGGACGUCCAAUUAGUGUGAACGAAACAUGGAGAUGCACAAUGAGACAAAUAAGUUUCUUAAGGUCACAUGAGAAGAAUAAGUUUUUUAAUAGUCAUUAGAAAUCAUGAUUCACUAAAUUGUCUUGUGUACUUUUUAUAAAGACUUUGGCCUUGAAAACUGAUGCAACUUUUUCUACUUAUUUUCUUCUUCCCAUGUGGUUGUGUUUGUUUUACAGCAACUGCAAGUUGAGCUGAGUUAAGAAAAAAUUUACUAAAAUAUAAUUCAGGCAGCUCCCAAUUCCCAUGUCUCCCUGGAACUGUGUAGAUCUACCGAGCCCGCCCCAUAAAGCGAUAAAGAAUGUACUUUUUGAGUUUAUUUUGGGCGGUUCGACUUGGUUUAAAAGAAGUUAGUUACUACUUAUAGGUUGCAGGCUGCAACAGGCCUUGCCUUCAGAAAAUCCAAGGUGCUGUGCAACGCAACUCAGAAGCAAAUCCUGAUGCUCUUGCCUUUAGAAACAAUGAAGAGGGUUGUAGAACAAAACCAGAAAUUUCAAGUUUGUGCCCUUUCAUGGGUUGUUGAAGCUGAAAUGUCACUCCAUUGAAGUGACCGAGUACUCAUGCUUAUUAUUGAGCCCUGUAAGCUAGAGUCCUCUAGUGGCAAGCAAAACCAGGAUAUGUGUCUAUCACAAUCCUCUAAUGGUUGGCAAGCAGAACCAGGACUUUAGAGAAGUUGAAACAGUCUUCUAAUGACAAACAUAACAGUCUCUUCCAAUCUAUUUCUUCAAAUUCUUCUCCAUCUCUUAUCUUUCCUUCUCGCUUCUUCUUCUACCUUUACAACAGAUCAUCUUCCUUUUUACUAGCGUCUAAUCAUCAAUCCAUUAUCUUCAAGCUAAGAGUUCACAAAGUUCCCACUCUUUAGCUUGAGGGGGAGUGUUAAGGGAUAAGAUAAAAGGCUUUUAUGGUCUUUCUAUCCAGAACAUUUGUUUUUACUAGAAUUUAGUAUUGUUUGUAACCUUCUAUAUAUACUGGAGAUGUAAUAACUAUACGAAGACAAGUAAAAAGAAAUGUAGUCAAUUAAUUUCUCUUC